UAGGGAAUCUUCGGCAAUGGGGGGAACCCUGACCGAGCAACGCCGCGUGAGUGAAGAAGGUUUUCGGAUCGUAAAGCUCUGUUGUUAAGGAAGAACGAGUGUGAGAAUGGAAAGUUCAUGCUGUGACGGUACUUAACCAGAAAGGGACGGCUAACUACGUGCCAGCAGCCGCGGUAAUACGUAGGUCCCGAGCGUUGUCCGGAAUCAUUGGGCGUAAAGGGUACGUAGGCGGAUAAGCAAGUUAGAAGUGAAAUCCUAUAGCUCAACUAUAGUAAGCUUUUAAAACUGCUCAUCUUGAGGUAUGGAAGGGAAAGUGGAAUUCCUAUUGUAGCGGUGAAAUGCGCAGAUAUUAGGAGGAAUACCGGUGGCGAAGGCGACUUUCUGGCCAUAAACUGACGCUGAGGUACGAAAGCGUGGGUAGCAAACAGG
rnacentral:rRNA from 1 species